rnacentral:rRNA from 1 species
AAUAGAUACCCGGGUAGUCCACGCCGUAAACGAUGGAUACUAGCUGUUCGGUCGCAAGAUUGAGUGGCUAAGCGAAAGUGAUAAGUAUCCCACCUGGGGAGUACGAACGCAAGUUUGAAACUCAAAGGAAUUGACGGGGGCCCGCACAAGCGGUGGAGCAUGUGGUUUAAUUCGAUGAUACGCGAGGAACCUUACCAAGGCUUAAAUGUAUAUUGACAGGACUGGAAACAGUUUUUUCUUCGGACAAUUUACAAGGUGCUGCAUGGUUGUCGUCAGCUCGUGCCGUGAGGUGUCAGGUUAAGUCCUAUAACGAGCGCAACCCCUGUUGUUAGUUGCCAGCGAGUCAAGUCGGGAACUCUAACAAGACUGCCAGUGUAAACUGUGAGGAAGGUGGGGAUGACGUCAAAUCAUCACGGCCCUUACGCCUUGGGCUACACACGUGCUACAAUGGCCGGUACAGAGAGCAGCCACUGCGCGAGCAGGAGCGAAUCUAUAAAACCGGUCACAGUUCGGAUCGGAGU